AGCGAACGCUGGCGGCAGGCCUAACACAUGCAAGUCGAACGAAGUCUUCGGACUUAGUGGCGGACGGGUGAGUAACACGUGGGAACGUACCUUUUGGUUCGGAACAACUCAGGGAAACUUGAGCUAAUACCGGAUGAGCCCUUAGGGGGAAAGAUUUAUCGCCGAAAGAGCGGCCCGCGUUAGAUUAGCUGGUUGGUGAGGUAAAGGCUCACCAAGGCUACGAUCUAUAGCUGGUCUGAGAGGAUGAUCAGCCACACUGGGACUGAGACACGGCGCAGAAUCUUAAGGGAGGCAGCAGUGGGGAAUCGGGCGAAAUGGGCGAAAGCCUGAAGCAGCCAUGCCGCGUGAAUGAUGAAGGUCGUAGGAUUGUAAAAUUCUUUUACCAGGGGCGAUAAUGACGGUACCUGGAGAAAAAGCCCCGGCUAACUUCGUGCCAGCCGCCGCCGUAACAC
rnacentral:rRNA from 1 species